GAUUGAACGCUGGCGGCAGGCCUAACACAUGCAAGUCGAGCGGAUGGAGGGAGCUUGCUCCUGGAUUCAGCGGCGGACGGGUGAGUAAUGCCUAGGAAUCUGCCUGGUAGUGGGGGAUAACGUCCGGAAACGGGCGCUAAUACCGCAUACGUCCUGAGGGAGAAAGUGGGGGAUCUUCGGACCUCACGCUAUCAGAUGAGCCUAGGUCGGAUUAGCUAGUUGGUGGGGUAAAGGCCUACCAAGGCGACGAUCCGUAACUGGUCGGAGAGGAUGAUCAGUCACACUGGAACUGAGACACGGUCCAGACUCCUACGGGAGGCAGCAGUGGGGAAUAUUGGACAAUGGGCGAAAGCCUGAUCCAGCCAUGCCGCGUGUGUGAAGAAGGUCUUCGGAUUGUAAAGCACUUUAAGUUGGGAGGAAGGGCAGUAAGUUAAUACCUUGCUGUUUUGACGUUACCAACAGAAUAAGCACCGGCUAACUUCGUG
rnacentral:rRNA from 1 species